AGCUUAUCCUGAUUACCAUUUGCUCAAAAAUCUUUAAAAAGCAACAAAGAAAAAUUCAAGCAGGUGCAAUGGAGACUCUGUCAAUUUCAACAAUAUACUCGAGAGUGGCAAAUGGUGGAAUCUGAAUUCCAGAGCCCAAAUCUGCACCUUUUUCUCCAAACCCAAGACUAGGAGGGACAAUGACUCUCCUCCUACCUCCCGCCUUCAUGGACCUUAAAACGUACUCCACUCCUUCACACAGACCUUUACUGUAAGGCCUGGAACCCAUAACCAGCGCCAAAGGC
rnacentral:lncRNA from 1 species